UCCUGUAUUAUUCAUUAGAGAAUUCUAAGCAAUGGUGCUUGUCUAAUCUAAACGUUCUCCAUCAAAAUAUUGGGACUUCGCAGACCCGAGCCGAUUAACCUGAUUAUUGUUUGGAUCCAACGAAAAAAAAUUCCGUUGUAUGUCUUGAGAACGAAGGGUCAGCGGUAAUCCACUAACCUCGCUGGGGAGUAGCCAUUGGCAGAAAACUUGGGAAGUCUGCUGACCGGAGUAAGGAUGAUCGAGGGCGCAGGUGUCUUUGGCUGUUUGCUUCGCUCUGCGUACCAGUCCCUCUCGCGCCGCAAACGUUCGAUUUCAUCAUUGCGUAUCUGGUGAGUUAGAAUAACAAACGGCUCCUUAAUUAUCGUUUACAUACAGCCCUUUAUUAUUAUUGUUUACAUACAGCCCUUUAUUAUUGUUUACAUACAGCCCUUUUUUAUAUUUUACAUACAGCCCUAUGUUAUUGUUUACAUACAUCCCUUUGUUAUUGUUUACAUGUGUAUGAAAACCCCAUAACGAGUACCAUCAACAAGAGUAAUUUAUGUAUGUAUUUAUUUUUUUUUAGGGGGAGGGGGUGACAUACCUCGUAUUUUCUUGUGAACUUUUUGAGCUCACCAUUGACCACGUAAUGCUAGGAGAAAAAUAUAAAUAAAUCAAUACAAAGGAGAAUAAUCAUUAUAGGGUUGACAAUAAUAUUUAUAGGGUUGAUAAUAAUAUUUAUAGGGUUGAUAAUAAUAUUUAUAGGUUUAACAAUAAUCAUUAUAGGGUCCAAAUCGCUGGAGAUUGUCAUUUAAUCGACCGGAGUAAACUGGUGACAGCGCCGCUUUUUAAAGCUUAUUAAAAUAAGCGAAUGACAAAAGUGAACAAAAAACAUUAUUGCUCGCGCAGCGAUCAUGUCGAUUUGGGUUUCCUGUGGAACAGGCCGCCGCCAUCUUGGAGACUAAAUCUCCCGUCCCCUCUCCGAUGCGCAAUUAGUAGUCUACGUGCGGUGCCUUUCCAGCUUCGAUUUGGACGGCGUCUGUCUGUCUGUCUGUCUGUCUGUCUGUCUGUCUGUCUGUCUGUCUGUCUGUCUGUCUGUCUGUCUGUCUGUCUGUCUGUCUGUCUGUCUGUCUGUCUGUCUGUCUGUCUGUGAAUACCAAGAUUUGGGCUACCUUUGGCAGUCAGCGAUACAAAAGCGGCCAUGAUUUUUCGCACGUGCCCUGUGAUUACGAUAAUGUUGAAAGCUUCUUCUUCGAUUUAAACCGAGAAUACGAUGGCGAAAUCAAAGAAUUAUUUGGUAAAUAUGACGACUUAUGAUACGAUGUUUUACGGGGUUUGCUUAUCAUGGCUUUCGAAGUUUGUCAUUUGAUGAUAAAAGAACCGAUUAACUUUAAGCGGAUACUCAAACUAGCCCUGAGCCUUAAAGGCAAAGCGAAAGGUAUUCAAACAGCUCAAAUCCCACUGUACUGUAAGACAUAAAAUAGUUUUUUCUUCGAUACUGGGUUUGCAGUAUUUUAUAAUUUGAGUCUAUUUUUCCACAGCAAUGUCCAGUCCAGAACUACUAUGAUAGCAAAUCAUUGCCC